UCAGGAUGAACGCUAGCGGCAGGACUUAAUACAUGCAAGUCGUGGGGCAGCAUGAGUAGCAAUACUUGAUGGCGACCGGCAAACGGGUGAGGAACACGUACACAACCUUCCUCAAGCGGGGAAUAGCCCAGAGAAAUUUGGAUUAAUACCCAUAAUAUAUUUGAUAAGGCAUCUUAUUAAUAUUAAAGCUUCGGCACUUGAUGAUGGGUGUGCGGCUGAUUAGAUAGUUGGCGGGGUAACGGCCCACCAAGUCUACGAUCAGUAGCUGAUGUGAGAGCAUGAUCAGCCACACGGGCACUGAGACACGGGCCCGACUCCUACGGGAGGCAGCAGUAAGGAAUAUUGGACAAUGGACGAAAGUCUGAUCCAGCCAUGCCGCGUGAAGGAUUAAGGUCCUCUGGAUUGUAAACUUCUUUUAUAUGGGACGAAAAAAGGGCAUUCUUGUUCACUUGACGGUACCAUAUGAAUAAGCACCGGCUAACUCCGUG
rnacentral:rRNA from 1 species